UGGCGGACGGGUGAGUAACGCGUGGGUAACCUGCCCCAUACCGGGGGAUACCACCUGGAAACAGGUGCUAAUACCGCAUAAGCGCACGGGAGCGCAUGCUCCUGUGUGAAAAACUCCGGUGGUAUGGGAUGGACCCGCGUCUGAUUAGCCAGUUGGCAGGGUAACGGCCUACCAAAGCGACGAUCAGUAGCCGGCCUGAGAGGGUGGACGGCCACAUUGGGACUGAGACACGGCCCAGACUCCUACGGGAGGCAGCAG
rnacentral:rRNA from 1 species